rnacentral:rRNA from 1 species
AGAACGAACGCUGGCGGCGUGGAUAAGACAUGCAAGUCGAACGAGGUAGUUUGGUAGCAAUAUCAAACUGCUUAGUGGCAAACGGGUGCGUAACACGUAGGUUACAUUCCGGAAAGUGUGGGAUAGCCCAGGGAAACUUGGAUUAAUACCGCAUGUGAUCGCAAGAUCAAAGGCGAAAGCCGCUUUCCGAUUGGCCUGCGCCCUAUCAGCUAGUUGGUGAGGUAAUGGCUCACCAAGGCUACGACGGGUAGCUGGUCUGAGAGGACGACCAGCCACACUGGAACUGAGACACGGUCCAGACACCUACGGGUGGCAGCAGUCGAGAAUCUUUCACAAU